rnacentral:rRNA from 1 species
CACGUGUGCAACCAACCCCGUACCGGGAGAUAACCCGCGGAAACGUGGACUAACACCCCAUAACACCUUUCCCCCGCAUGGGGGAGAGUUUAAAAUCACGAUGGUACAGGACGGGCACGCGCGACAUUAGGUAGUUGGCGGGGUAACGGCCCACCAAGCCGACGAUGUCUAGGGGUUCUGAGAGGAAGGUCCCCCACACUGGAACUGAGACACGGUCCAGACUCCUACGGGAGGCAGCAGUGAGGAAUAUUGGUCAAUGGGCGAGAGCCUGAACCAGCCAAGUCGCGUGAGGGAAGAAUGGUCUAUGGCCUGUAAACCUCUUUUGUCAAGGAAGAAUAAGCGGCACGAGUGCCACCUUGCCAGUACUUGACGAAUAAGCAUCGGCUAACUCCGUGCCAGCAGCCGCGGUAAUACGGGGGAUGCGAGCGUUAUCCGGAUUUAUUGGGUUUAAAGGGCGCGUAGGCGGGACGUCAAGUCAGCGGUAAAAGACUGCAGCUAAACUGUAGCACGCCGUUGAAACUGUCGACCUGGAGACGAGACGAGGGAGGCGGAACAAGUGAAGUAGCGGUGAAAUGCAUAGAUAUCACUUGGAACCCCGAUAGCGAAGGCAGCUUCCCAGGCUCGAUCUGACGCUGAUGCGCGAGAGCGUGGGUAGCGAACAGGAUUAGAUACCCUGGUAGUCCACGCCGUAAACGAUGCUCACUGGAUCUUGGCGAUACACGGCCAGGGUUCAAGCGAAAGUAUUAAGUGAGCCACCUGGGGAGUACGUCGGCAACGAUGAAACUCAAAGGAAUUGACGGGGGCCCGCACAAGCGGAGGAACAUGUGGUUUAAUUCGAUGAUACGCGAGGAACCUUACCCGGGUUUAAAUGCAGGUUGCAUGAGGUGGAAACACCUCUUUCCCUCGGGACUACCUGCAAGGUGCUGCAUGGUUGUCGUCAGCUCGUGCCGUGAGGUGUCGUGUUAAGUCCCAUAACGAGCGCAACCCCUAUCGCCAGUUGCCAUCGGUUCAAGCCGGGCACUCUGUCGAGACUGCCACCGUAAGGUGCGAGGAAGGCGGGGAUGACGUCAAAUCAGCACGGCCCUUACACCCGGGGCGACACACGUGUUACAAUGGCCGGUACAGAGGGCAGCCACGGGGCGACCCGGAGCGAAUCUCUAAAGCCGGUCGUAGUUCGGACUGGAGUCUGCAACCCGACUCCACGAAGUUGGAUUCGCUAGUAAUCGCGCAUCAGC